UACGUAGGGAGCGAGCGUUGUUCGGAAUUACUGGGCGUAAAGAGUGUGUAGGCGGUGCUCCCAGUCUGGUGUGAAAUCUCCCGGCUUAACUGGGAGGGUGCAGCGGAAACUAGAGUGCUAGAGGGUGGGAGAGGUAAGCGGAAUUCCUGGUGUAGCGGUGAAAUGCGUAGAUAUCAGGAGGAACACCUGUGGCGAAAGCGGCUCACUGGACCAUUACUGACGCUGAGGCACGAAAGCUAGGGGAGCAAACAGG
rnacentral:rRNA from 1 species